AGUGAACGCUGGCGGUAGGCCUAACACAUGCAAGUCGAACGGCAGCACAGGAGAGCUUGCUCUCUAGGUGGCGAGUGGCGGACGGGUGAGGAAUACAUCGGAAUCUGCCCAGUCGUGGGGGAUAACGUAGGGAAACUUACGCUAAUACCGCAUACGACCUUCGGGUGAAAGAGGGGGAUCGCAAGACCUCUCGCGAUUGGAUGAGCCGAUGUCGGAUUAGCUAGUUAGCGGGGUAAUGGCCCACCAAGGCGACGAUCCGUAGCUGGUCUGAGAGGAUGAUCAGCCACGCUGGAACUGAGUCACGGUCCAGACUCCUACGGGAGGCAGCAGUGGGGAAUAUUGGACAAUGGGCGCAAGCCUGAUCCAGCCAUACCGCGUGGGUGAAGAAGGCCUUCGGGUUGUAAAGCCCUUUUGUUGGGAAAGAAAUCUUUCAGGCUAAUACCCUGGGAGGAUGACGGUACCCAAAGAAUAAGCACCGGCUAACUUCGUG
rnacentral:rRNA from 1 species